GGCGGUGUAGCUCAGCCGGUAGAGCAGGGGAAUCAUAAUCCCUGUGUCGGGGGUUCAAGUCCCUCCACCGCCACCA
rnacentral:tRNA from 1 species